CAGGUGGAGGGGGAAGAAAGGACAAUGCCAAAGAGGAUGGGAGACUCGGGAACAGGUUGGCAGGUGCCUAGGACUUGGAGAUGAAUGGAAGAUGAUGAUGAAGAGAACCAAAGGGCUGGCCCCGUUUGACCUCUUCUCUAGCCUAGCACUCCACUGCCUUGUAGACAAGUUUAGACUGGGGACUAACGGAAUUACAUAGGGAGGUCAGCAGGGUCCUGGAUGCCAGGACAAAGUGUUAUGACUUCAAACAAAAAGCUAACGCCUCACAUUAUGAAGGUAUGCUUACCCUCAUAUAGGCAGGAACCAGAUGAGAAACAUCAGUGCUCAACUGUGGACAUUGUAUUGUUUGAGCUAAGGCCCCACUACUUAAUCUGGCUAAGCCAUGUUAACCCUCACAGCUGGCCCCUGUUGCUAAACAAGGGCUAUGUCCUAGGAGUUUGUAAAGAUUGGAUGAGAUCAUGGAUGUCAAAGAUCUUUGUCAACUACCAAAUACUAUUUACAUCAGUCUUUUUGAAGUAGGAGCUAGAUUUCUGAAGCGAAGUCUGUCUUUACUAUUACCUAUCUGCCUCUGAUAUGCACAGAGAUCAGUCGUCUGAGAGGUGCCAGGCCUGGAGACUUGAGCAGCUGGCUGUUGACAGGCUGAGGGCAACAUGGUGCCUACCUCAAGAGCAGUGUCUGCCCCCAGCCUGGCAAGCCAUCCUGUCACCCUUAUUCUUAGGGAAACUGCUCUCUGCUGAGACAUCGUGUCUCUUGGUUCUACCAGCUUCUAGUCACCACCAAGCUGUCACUGUGUCCCUCAGCUUUGGGGAGACUAAUACCAGGAGGCAGAAUGUGAGGAUGAAGCAGCAGUCUCAAAGCAGCUUGAUGGGUGCUGUUUCUAGUUUUGUCUAAGCUGAAUCGACCCACUUAAACAGGGGAGGAGCCUUGUCCCCCUCAAGGGACAGAGGUCAAACCACUGAACAAGAAGGCCUCAUGGUGCACACCUGCCAUCCCAGUUACUUGGGAGGGAAGAGGAUGCCAAGCUCAAAGCCAGCCUGCAUUAGAGUGACUUUCUAGCCAGUGUAGAAUACUAGUGAGGUAUGACCCCAAAAGCAAAAGGGGUGGGGAUAGCUCAGUGGUAGAAUGCUUACCUAGCAUGCCUGAGGCUCAAGGUUUAACCCCUGGCACUGAAGAAGUCAAGGGGAGUAGCUUAAGACUCUGGGCCCACUCAAACCUCCUAAGCCAGGAUAGGUCUAAACUUAAGCACUGAACCCCUAAGGUAGCAGAACGCAGACCGCAGUUCUGGAAUUUGAAAGGCUCCUGUGCCACAGGGCAGCCCACCCUGAGAGCCCAGAACCAAAUUCCUGCCUCAACCAUCUUUUGGCUCAAAGGAAGAAUGUGACUCUAGCACUUUGCCUGUCUGGGCUGCUGGGCAGCAGCUAAUACAUGUCCCGGUACCACAAGAUGAGGGGGAUGGAAAAGUAACUCCCAGGUGGGGGAAGCUGCAACAAGACCCGUCGUGCCCCCCACGGUUGUUAGUGGCUGUGUCUUUCACUUCCUGUGAGAUUGACAGUUGGGGCCCAGAAGGUGUGGGACUCCAGCAGCCCCAGUGUGGUUAUUUGUACAGACUCUUGCCUCCCCUCCCCACAACUGUUUCCAUUCUCACCACACAGUCACAUCCGGGUCAUGUACGCAGAGCAGCAGCUGGGGCUUUCCAGGGGACUUCUGAAAAGGCCAGUGAAAGCAGAGGCGUUGACUGCACAGGCUCAGCUCCUGGGAAACUUUCUUUCCCUCCAGGAGAGCCUCAGGCACGUUCCCAACACUGCACAGGCCAGGAUAGGAGGACAGGAAAGACACUUACUGACGCGCUGCCACUUGGAGACCCAGCUGUCCUCUGGACUCAUCAUCGCGAUGAUUCUAGAGAGGGAGGACGAAGAGUCAGCCUGAGCCUGCCCUGCCAGAGGGGCUGCUGAGCACAGCAGGAACAGCUCCAGGCAAGGCACCACUGAGGAAGGGAGUGACAAAGGCCUUGCAGUCUAUGUCCAGCCAGUAAGAAGAGCUUUACCUGUGGAUGUCCAGUACUGAAGACACCCAGCCCAAUCACGAGGGGGUCUGGAGCCUGGUACAAAGGAGUCAAAACAAUGGAUCCUUUUCCUGAAAGCAAA